rnacentral:rRNA from 1 species
UUCGGGAACUGUGAGACAGGUGCUGCAUGGCUGUCGUCAGCUCGUGUUGUGAAAUGUUGGGUUAAGUCCCGCAACGAGCGCAACCCUUAUCCUUUGUUGCCAGCGGUUCGGCCGGGAACUCAAAGGAGACUGCCAGUGAUAAACUGGAGGAAGGUGGGGAUGACGUCAAGUCAUCAUGGCCCUUACGACCAGGGCUACACACGUGCUACAAAGGCAUAUACAAAGAGAAGCGACCUCGCGAGAGCAAGCGGACCUCAUAAAGUAUGUCGUAGUCCGGAUUGGAGUCAGCAACUCGACUC